rnacentral:sRNA from 1 species
GCUCUUCUCCUCUUUCUCUUCUCUUCUCUUCUCCUUU